AGUGAACGCUGGCGGUAGGCCUAACACAUGCAAGUCGAACGGCAGCACAGUAAGAGCUUGCUCUUACGGGUGGCGAGUGGCGGACGGGUGAGGAAUACAUCGGAAUCUACUUUUUCGUGGGGGAUAACGUAGGGAAACUUACGCUAAUACCACAUACGACCUACGGGUGAAAGCAGGGGAUCUUCGGACCUUGCGCGAUUGAAUGAGCCGAUGUCGGAUUAGCUAGUUGGCGGGGUAAAGGCCCACCAAGGCGACGAUCCGUAGCUGGUCUGAGAGGAUGAUCAGCCACACUGGAACUGAGGCACGGUCCAGACUCCUACGGGAGGCAGCAGUGGGGAAUAUUGGACAAUGGGCGCAAGCCUGAUCCAGCCAUACCGCGUGGGUGAAGAAGGCCUUCGGGUUGUAAAGCCCUUUUGUUGGGAAAGAAAAGCAGCAGGUUAAUACCCCGCUGUUCUGACGGUACCCAAAGAAUAAGCACCGGCUAACUUCGUG
rnacentral:rRNA from 1 species